rnacentral:sRNA from 1 species
GGGGACUCAUGCGAUACUGCCUACGAUGAGUAGGAGGAAGGUGGGGAUGACGUCAAGUCAUCAUGCCCCUUAUACGCUGGGCUACACACGUGCUACAAUGGGUAGAACAGAGAGUUGCAAAGCCGUGAGGUGGAGCUAAUCUCAGAAAACUAUUCUUAGUUCGGAUUGUACUCUGCAACUCGAGUACAUGAAGUUGGAAUCGCUAGUAAUCGCGAAUCAGCAAUGUCGCGGUGAAUACGUUCUCGGGUCUUGUACACACCGCCCGUCACACCACGAGAGUUGGUUGCACCUGAAGUAGCAGGCCUAACCGUAAGGAGGGAUGUUCCGAGGGUGUGAUUAGCGAUUGGGGUGAAGUCGUAACAAGGUAUCCGUACGGGAACGUGCGGAUGGAUCACCUCCUUUCUAAGGAGAAUGUGUCUUUCUCUAUUCUAUUGGUAAUGUUCUUACAUUACUUCUGAACAUUGGAAACUAUAUAGUAGAACAAACAAGAAAAAAAUUAACUCUAAACAAUUUCUUUAGAGUUAGCUGUCAAAAAAUAGGUUAAAAUAAUUAAGGGCACACAAAGGAUGCCUAGGUAGUAAGAGCCGAUGAAGGACGUGGUAAGCUGCGAUAAGCCUAGAUAAGUUGCAAUCGAACGUAAGAGUCUAGGAUUUCCGAAUGGAGCAAUCUAUUAAGAUGGAGUCUUAAUACGAAAGAGGGAACCGCGUGAACUGAAACAUCUAAGUAACGCGAGGAAAAGAAAGUAAAAACGAUACCCAAAGUAGCGGCGAGCGAACUGGGUCAAGCCUAAACCUUAAAUAUGUCAAGGAUACAGCCGUUGUAUUUAAGGGGUAGAGGGACAAAGUAGUGAAGAACUGUAAGAUAUUCAAUAUAGUGUAUUGAUGAAUUAGAAUUGUCUGGAAAGAUGAACCGCAGAAGGUGAAAGUCCUGUAUAAGUAAAUCCUUACACAUAUAACUUUGCUCCCAAGUAACAUGGAACACGAGGAAUUCUGUGUGAAUCGGUGAGGACCAAAUCUCAUAAGG